AUUUUUGACAUUAUUUACCGGACUUUAUUCUAUUAUGCCCUAAAAACUCUAUGGUUUAUUCUAAUAUAUUCCACUCUUAAUAAAUAAUUUCUUUUCAUUUAUUUUAAAAUCGAAAACGUGGCUAAGUACAGAAAAGCCCUUAUUGAAUUUACUUAUCUACAGAUCCAACCUAAACUAACCCACCCGAUCCAUGCCCAAUCGGAUCAAACCCGAAUUUCCCUUAACCCUAGCACGUGUUUCUCUUCCUCAUUCUCAAUCUCUCAAAAAAAAAAAAUCUACCAGGAUUCUCUGUAAAUAGCAUAUUCACUCUGUUUCCCCUCACCUUUCCGUUGUUCCCUUCUCAGUCUCCAGAGUUCGCCGGUGACAGAGUGCUCACCAAGUUCUGGGAACUGACUCACUUCUCUUUCGUCGGUACCGCUGCAGCUUAUGGUUUGUUUAGCCGUAGGAGUGUUGAAUCAUCAGUUAAUUCAAGGAUGAGCUGUGUAGAUGAGUCUUCAUUGUCUUAUGUGAAUGCCCGAACUUCCGUGUAUCUCUAGUGAAUGAGAGAAAAUCUGUCGCUGAAUCAAGUGCAAGCUUGGAACUCAUUUUCAAGGGAGAUCUAAGGUGCGGUUGCUCGACCAGCUUAUGGUAUUGAUGGCCAUGUCGUGCACCAACCAUUACGCUUUUCCGGUUAGGAGUUUAAGGUCCGGUUUGUGAGAUAAGAUAGCUCUUGAGCACAGCUCUUGAGCACAGCUCUUGAGCACAGCUCUUGAGCACAGCUCUUGUGAUGAAGCUGUAAAUGAGAAACCUGGAGAAUCUUCAUCCCUCAUCUUGUCGCUUUUAUGAUUUGCACUUUCAUCCCAAUAGUUGCAAAUCUACUGAAAUUUUGAUUUGAUGCUUGUGUUUUUCUCUUUUGGAGCAAGUUGAGUAGACUUACAUCAUGGUGAAACCAGACGGCAUACAACGAGGUUGGAGAAAUCAUCUCUCGUUUUAAGAAGAAGGGCUUUAAACUUAUUGGACUUGAGAUGUUUCAGUGUCUCAAAGAAUUGGCUGAGGAAUUUUUGCUUGCUUGAUGGGUAUAUGAACAUAGUAAUGACGCAGACAGAGCAGUAUAUGAACGGACAACUUAAAAUUAAUAUUGAUGUUAUAUCAAUUAGAUACAGUAUGAUGUUUUGUAUAAAAUUAUGUUCUUGAGAAAAUUUAUGAAUGAUUUUAUUUUGUUGUAGUGUUUGGAUGGUUUGAUGUUUUAAGACAAUAAUUAAAAUUAUUAAAAUAAUAAAACUAACAAAUUAACAUA